GACGAACGCUGGCGGCGUGCCUAAUACAUGCAAGUAGAACGCACAGUCUAUACUGUAGCUUGCUACACCAUAGACUGUGAGUUGCGAACGGGUGAGUAACGCGUAGGUAACCUGCCUGGUAGCGGGGGAUAACUAUUGGAAACGAUAGCUAAUACCGCAUAAUAUUAAUUAUUCCAUGAUAAUCAAUUGAAAGGUGCAAUUGCACCACUACCAGAUGGACCUGCGUUGUAUUAGCUAGGAGGGGAGGUAACGGGUCACCUAGGCGACGAUACAUCGCCGACCUGGGGAGGUGGACAGCCACACUGGGAAUGGAACACGGCCCAAACCCCUUCGGGGGGGAGCAGGAGGGAAACUUCGGCAAAGGGGGAAAGUCUGACCGCACCACGCCGGGGGGGGGGAGGAAGUUUUCGGAUCGGAAAGCUCUGUUGUAAGGGGAGGACGGGUGUUGGAGUGAAAAGUUCACGCUAUGACGGUAUCUGACCAGAAAGGGACGGCUAACUACGUG
rnacentral:rRNA from 1 species